UGCGUGUCGCCCUAAGGGGCGCUUUGGUGGGAGCUCCUCCCGCCCCCUCAUUUCCGCCCUGUAGUCCCACAGCCUACAGAUCUUCCCUUCCUUCGGGAAGAGUCUCAAGACCCAGAAGCUGGAAGAGGCGGCGGCGACUCGGCAGCCACCCAGAAGUGGGAGCCAGCGUUAAGGCACCAACGCAAAAACGCAGGACGAAUUCUCAUCGAUCACAUCUGGCCUGGGCUGGCAGCCUGAAUGGAGAACAAGCUUCAGGUGCUGUUGAUGCUGCUUUUGGAGGAUCAAGGAGAAUGCAUCCGUCUGCCCCCUUUACUUGUCCUAAUGAUUGGAUACUUAGGAUGCUGCGGAUUCCUGUCUCGCAGCCAACAACACUCAUCUGUCCCCUCGUGGAGUCCAGACUGAAUUGCUCAGAGGCACGUGGCCAGGCGGCAAUGAUAUAAG